rnacentral:rRNA from 1 species
ACUUUUAGCAAUGGAUCUCUUGGUUCU